rnacentral:rRNA from 1 species
GGGGGGGGGGGGGGGGGGGGGGGGGGGGGGGGGGGCGGGGGGGGGCGGCGGGUGUGGUGGGGCACGGGUGCGUGACGCGUGGGAACCUGCCCUUAGGUUCGGACGAACUCCCCGAAAGGGGGGCUAAUACCGGGGGAUGUCUUCGGACCAAAGAUUUAGCGCCUUUGGAUGGGCCCGCGCUGGAUUAGCUAGGUGGUAGGGUAAAAGCCUACCAAGGCGACGAGCCAUAGCUGGUCUGAGAGGAUGAUCAGCCACACUGGGACUGAGACACGGCCCAGACUCCUACGGGAGGCAGCAGUGGGGAAUAUUGGACAAUGGGAGAAAGCCUGAUCCAGCAAUGCCGCGUGAGUGAUGAAGGCCUUAGGGUUGUAAAGCUCUUUUACCCGGGAUGAUAAUGACAGUACCGGGAGAAUAAGCUCCGGCUAACUCCGUG